UACGUAGGGUGCGAGCGUUAAUCGGAAUUACUGGGCGUAAAGCGUGCGCAGGCGGUUAUAUAAGACAGAUGUGAAAUCCCCGGGCUCAACCUGGGCACUGCAUUUGUGACUGUAUAGCUAGAGUACGGUAGAGGGGGAUGGAAUUCCGCGUGUAGCAGUGAAAUGCGUAGAUAUGCGGAGGAACACCGAUGGCGAAGGCAAUCCCCUUGACCUGUACUGACGCUCAUGCCCGAAAGCGUCGGGAGCAAACAGCAUUAGAUACCCGUGUAGUCC
rnacentral:rRNA from 1 species